GGGGAGAGUUAGCCUGCACUGGGAAAACUGUCUUCUAUGCAGUCAGACUUCCCUCUACAUAUACUGAACUAUGGCAAAUACACUGGUGUCAGUCGUGACAGCCUCCCCGUUGGGAGACAGUCCAGUUCAGGUUGUCUGUCCAGAGUGUCAUCAGUCAGUACUCUCCAAGGUGGACUACUCCUCUGGUUUGCUGACUUACCUUUUCUGUGGAGGACUCUUCUUCUGUGGCUUUGUUUUAGGUUGCUGUCUCAUCCCGUUCUGUGUGGACCGGCUGAAAGAUGCAAAGCACACCUGUCCUACCUGCAAGACUGUCCUUGGCGUGUAUAAACGCCUAUAACCGAUAUUAGUGCUACACCAUAUAGUCGAUUCGAUUAGUCGAUUCAUUGGCAAAUAUUUUGAUCACCAAAUAAUCGUAAACUUUUCUAAGCAAAAAACCCAUGCAUUUGCUGAUUACAUGCUUCUUAAAUGUGAAUGUGAUGCUUUUCUUAGCCAUACACGAUACUACACUGAAUUUGAAGAUGUCACCCUGCAUUUUGGGAAAUUACACAGCCUCAACUGACGUGGUGCCCUUCUUAGGGUUAAACUUCCAACACAUCCAUCUGUACACCAGACUGCAGUUUCCUCCUGAAUGAACCACUGUUGUAUUCAGAAAAUGUAAUUAUACAGGAAUCUUCCAGUAAUAAAGCUUGCCACUAA